AUCAUAAAUAAAUAUAUUUCUGUGGCCAAAGGAGACGAAAUAAAAAGACUGACCCUGCAGCUAGAAUCAAGGAACUGACAGUGCGAGGUAUUUUAAAAAAACUGGGUCUGCUUAACCUCCUCCCGACCUUUCAGCAUCACGAGGUGGAUGUAGAGGUCCUCCUUGGGGUCGAUGACGAAGAUCUGUUAGAGAUAGGAGUUGAGAGUUCAACAGAUAGAUCUAAGAUUAUUCAAUAUGUCAAACGAUACAAAGCAUGAAAAUUUUAUUAUUUACAAGUUACUGUAUAAAGUUACUAUAUAAAGUUACUAUAUAAAGUUACUAUAUAAAGUUACUAUAUAAAGUUACUAUAUUAAGUUACUGUAUAAAGUUACUAUAUAAAGUUACUUUAUAAAGGGGCUGUAGACACAAUUUCAAGUGACCCUCUGUUUAAAGAGUGUCAUAUUAUUGUUUCUAUUUAAAAUAAUUGAAUUUUGUUCAUAUUCUCUAUAGCAUGAAUGCGCAAGCAACCACAAUUGCAAAAAAAAAAUUUUCAGCUAAAAAAAAUAAGGAUAUUUCAUUUAUCCCUGGUCGAAUAGGCUUAAACGUAAUUCAUUCUCGAUAUAGACAAUUCAAAUCUUGUUAAGAAAUCUAAAUUAAGAUAAUUCUUCAUUUGGUGGCAUACAAACCGACCUAUUGGUGGCAUACAAACCGACCUAUUUUUCAGGUCUGUUCCUGUAAUAUAGAUUUUAAGCUUCUAUCCCUUUUAAGUCGGCUUUACCAACAGAUUCCUUUCCUUUCGUCAAAAAAUAGUGAACUAAUAUGUUUUCUCUCUGAAAGAACCAGGAAUAAUGAUUUAAUUUGUUUAAAUAUACAAUAAGCGUAAAUUCAAGUGACGGUACAAUUGAAAUUACGCUUACAGUCCCUUUAAUAAAUCCUGAACAAACGUAUUAAAAGCGCUUGAUGAAUGGUUCCAGGUUCCAGACUAGAUUAAACUAUCAAGAAUAAAUAAAUUAAAACUAAAAUUAUCUUUCUGUGAUUAUAUCAGUUAUAUCGUAUAGUUUAUAAAAUUAUAUUUAUAAAUGUUCAGAUCGAAUCUUUAUUUUUUUCA